GCAGUUUAAUAAGGUAGGCCUUCUAAUAACGUUAGCCUUCUAAUGAGCUUGACCUCUUAAUGAGGUAAGUCUUAUGAUGAGGUCGGCCUUCCAAUGAGAUCUACCUUCUAAUGAGCUCAGCUAUCGAUCUUUCGAUGAGGUCAGCCUUUCGAUGAGGUCAGACUUUUAAUAAGCUCGAUUGUCGACCUUCUGAAGAGGUCGGCCUUCUGAA
rnacentral:lncRNA from 1 species